GCAAACAGAAGAAAGACCAGGACGCAGCAGCUGAACUUUUUCUUCAGCUCUGCACAAGAAGUUCUUCAGCAAAGUGUGGUUUCCUGUGCUGUUCCCAUGGGGCCAUGCCCACUCAGCUUCCAACACCAGCUCAAGUGCUCCUUGACUCUCAAGCUUCCUUGGCCUCACAGAGAUGAUCAGCAUAACUCCAUGGUGCCUAUUCUUCCCCUCAUCAAACUAUGUGACAUUUAUCUGUUUGCAGAUCUGUCCCAACCAGAUUGAGAGCUCCUGGGCCACAACUAGGAAAUGUUCAGUCAUGUCUGAAUGCAAGAAUGAAGCUAGCUCCUGACACCAUCCCUCCCCACUGCCCACUGCCUUCAAUUGCUACAGCCACUCCCUCCCACCUACCCACCCAUCACCUUCAGUUGCCAGAAUCACCUUGACGGCACCAUCAUUGCAAAUGUUCAUUUUGCCUGUUGGAUACACUGAAUGACAGGGAAUUUACUACCGCCCCAGACCACACACAACUGUAGACAAGGUCUUGCUUUGUCACCCAGGCUGGAGUACACAGUGGCACAAUCUCUGUUCACCGCAACCUCCACCUCCCAGGUUCAAGCGAUUCUCCUGCCUCAGCCUCCCGAGUAGCUGGGAUCACAGGCGUGCACCACCACGCCCUGCUAACCACCUAUGAAAAAUUCUUGCCCAAAAUGUUUAAUCUGUAUAUUAUCAAGCUGUCAUACACAAUUCCAGUUUUUAGGAAAUACAGAAGAAAGAAGAACAAGUCAAAUAGCGCCAAAGGAAAAUUAUCAGACAAAUCCAGAAGGUAGGACUUCCUAUGGGACAACUGAACUGGUUUCAUCAACAAGUAAAUGGGAAUAAAAAACAAAUGGCUUCGCAGAUAUAAUAAUAUGUAAUACGUACACCUUGUCUGAAUCUUGGUUUGAUUCACCUUGGGGACAAAUGGGGAUAUUGGAACAUAGAUUGGUUAUUAUAUGGUAUUAAGAAAUUAUUGUUAAUUUUGUUAGGUGUAUAAAAGUAUUGUGGUUAUAUAAAGAAAAAGUCCUAUGCAUGUGAAGUAGUAAGAGAUGAAAUCUACUUUAAAAAUCUACUUUAAAAUACUCCAGCCAAAAAAUAGAUUCAGCAAAUAUGAAAAUAAUGCAAUGUCAUUUUUUGGAUGUAUUCAAAUUAAGCUAUGUAACAAGACUGAUUUUCAAACUCCUUUCUUCUUAGACAGUGAUAUAGUUUGGGAGUGGGGAGAGUUUUAAAGAGCUUGAAGAAAAAAGUCACGAUAGACAAUUGUUUCUGUUUUACUCAAGGAAUUAACUAAAAGAUAUAUGACUUUAGAGAAGUCAUAUAUUGAGCCACUUAUUGCAUGAGUUCUAAAUAAACUCCACUUCCCUGCCCUGACCCUAAACCUCUUGACCUCAUUUCUCUUCUUUAAAAUGCCUUAUUUCUCUUUCCUUUACAGUAAAACUCCUUGAAAGACAGUCCAUAGUCUUGUUUGCAAUAGCUAUCUUCCCACUCUCACUUGAACCCACUCCAACCAGGCCUCCCCAUCUCCAUGAACCUGAUCUUGUCAGAGUCACAAGGACCUCCACGAUCUCCACAUUGCUAACCAAAUGGUCAAUGUUCAGUCUUCAUCUUAUUCAGCUCAUCAGCAGUCCAUAACUUCCUCUUCCUUGAUGCAUAUUCUUCACCUAGCUUCCAAAACCUAUACUUCUCCUGGCUUUUCUCUGCCUUACCGGUAAUGCCUUACUGGUCUCGUUGCUGGCUCCUUCUCUUCUGCCCCACUUUAUGCACAGAAAUGCCCUAGACCUGCCCUUUCUCUACCUAUACUCACCCUCUACUGCUUGUGAGCAUCUUGCGGUCAGCUCUCCACCUACCCAGCCCCCUGCAGUUUGAGCUCAAUACCUGUUUGUUGAAGUGCACUGAGUCCGGAAAGUCGGUUCUGUCAGUGAGCUUCUACAGAAAGGAAGCCUUUGAAAAUUUUUUUUGAGAAAAGAAGACGGGGCAAGAAGGGGGGCCGGAAUAAAACACUGCACUCACUUCACUAUUUACCCUCUUAUCUGUUAUCUGUAGAGAGGAGGCAACACUGAGGAGCACAGUGAUUCUCAGACUUAGAGCACACCCAAAUUAUUAAAAUCACUUGUUAAAAUGCGGGUUCCUGAAUUCUGUCUCAAUCAUUCUGAUUCAAGUAGUCUG
rnacentral:lncRNA from 10 species